CUCAGGGCAGGGUGAAAUUCCUGACCGGCGGUAAACCCCGCGACUUCCUGCUGAGGCAGGAACCGAAUCGGUGAAAUUCCGAUGGCGACAGUAAAGUCUGGAUGAAAGAGUG
rnacentral:ncRNA from 1 species